rnacentral:rRNA from 1 species
AGCAGCCGCGGUAAUUCCAGCUCCAAUAGCGUAUAUUAAAGUUGUUGCAGUUAAAAAGCUCGUAGUUGAAUUUCGGGAUCAAUACGUCGGUCGUGCUUAGGUACGUACUGGCGUAAUUGAUUUCUCCCUUCUGACGAACCAUGAUGUCAUUAACUUGGUGUCAUGGGAAAUCAGGACUGUUACUUUGAAAAAUUAGAGUGUUUAAAGCAGGCUCACGCUUGAAUACAUUAGCAUGGAAUAAUGAAAUAGGACGUUCGAUCCUAUUUUGUUGGUUUUUAGGAUCAACGUAAUGAUUAAUAGGGAUAGUUGGGGGCAUUAGUAUUCAAUUGUCAGAGGUGAAAUUCUUGGAUUUAUUGAAGACUAACUACUGCGAAAGCAUUUGCCAAGGAUGUUUUCAUUAACCAAGAACGAAAGUUAGGGGAUCGAAGACGAUCAGAUACCGUCGUAGUC